UUUGGAGUGGCUUGUGUCAUGAGAUCCUAUUCUUUUGUUAAGCGUUACCGUUAAACAAGCUUGCUAGUUGUUUCAACUUCAGGAACUGGGUUUGUUCUCGGGAGUGGCACUGCUAUUGAUUUUUCUGGACUUUGUUGGACAUGUGUUGGUACCAUGAUGGUUGCAGCAUCUGCUAAUUCUUUAAAUCAGGUGUUUGAGAAAGAUAAUGAUGCAAAAAUGAAGAGAACAAAGCAGAGGCCUCUGCCUUCAGGGCGCAUUACAAGAUCUCAUGCAGCUACUUGGGUGUCUUCUAUGGGUUUAGCUUGGCACUGCAUUACUGGCAAGCAAGGCUAAUGCAAUGGCAGCUGGUCUCGGCGCUUCUAAUUUGCUUCUUUAUGCAUUCAUAUAUACUCCCUUGAAACGGAUUCAUCCAGUGAAUACAUGGGUUGGGGCUGUUGUUGGUGCUAUUACACCACUUCUAGGAUGAGCUACAGCGUCAUGCUAGAUUUCGCUUAAUGCAAUGAUUCUCCCAGCUGCUCUCUACUUUUGGCAAAUUCCGCACUUUAUGGACCCUUGCAUAUUUUUGCCGCAACGAUUAUGCUGCAGGAGGGUUUAAAAUGUUUUCUCAUGCUGAUGCUUCCGGUCAGAGAACUGCCUCCGUGGCUUUGAGGAACUGCCUAUAUCUGAUCCCUUUGGGGUUUUUGGCCUAUGAUUGUAAGUCACAAGAUUUCCAAGCACAAAUUGUUGUAGUUACUUUUUUUUGGGGGUAAAUAUUGUUCCUUGAUGCAUUUAAAAAAAAAAAAAAAGGG